rnacentral:lncRNA from 1 species
AUAAAGCUCUCAUAUAUGAAUUUAUGUCUAAUGGUUCCCUUGACAAAUUUAUAUACAAUAAGGAACCUGAAACGAUUGCAUCUUUAAGUUGGGAUAAUAUGCAUCAAAUUGCGAAAGGGAUAGCCCGUGGGCUAGAAUAUUUGCAUAGAGGAUGUGCNUUAUAUACCCGUUACCCGUCCCAUACCCGUGUUUUGAGAUCGGGGAAAACCCAUACCCAUACCCAAACUCAGUCAAAACGGGGAAAACCCGUCAAAUUGAGUUUGGUUCGGGCGGGUAACCACGGGUAUGGGUUUUGUUGCCAUGCCUAAAUGUAAUUGGUUGGGGCAUGGCUCUUUCACUAAUAUAAAUAGCAUGCUCUUGUACUAUUGUUACUCACACCAUCACAGAACAAAGUAACACAACAACAAGUGUUUUGUUCUAGUAGAGUUAGAGAGAAAGAAAUAGUUUCUCCUCAUGAGGUUUCUCCUAGGUAGUGUCAGUAUUCUUCUAUUUACAAGAGAGAGUGGUAAUUGUACUCUCCUUGCAUUUAGAGAGAGGUCCUGCAAUUUCUUCCACUUAGUGAAAGUUCUCUACUCUUGCCCCGUGGUUUUUUUUUUCCUUAUUUGUUGAGGGGUACUUUCCACGUAAAUAUUGUGCGUUCAGUUCCUCUUUUCUCGUCUCUUAUUUUAGCUACGUGAUAAUAUUUUGUUACUCUGAUACCUAACAGGAAAUUAGUCUAUAUAAUUUCAUUGUAGAUACUAAAUUGAUGCGACCAGUUAUCAAAUCGAAAUGUCUUCAGAUUUACGAAAUUUUGAAGAUUUUGGUGUAUUUAAAUGAAUAAUGUUGACUUUUUUAAUUGAAAGAUGUUAGUAUGUCAAUUGUUGUGUUUUUUUUCUUUGAAGAAGCAAAAUGGAAUAUAUUACUGAAAAUCUAAAAAUAUUAACACAAGAAGUUCCAAAACCCUAGUUGAAAAAGUAUCAAACUACAUCCACAAAACAACGGGUAACAAAAUAAAAAGGACCAAAAGACAUAGCCACCCCAUUACUGAUCGUUACCCAAACACGGUAAAUGAUCAAUCACCAUAAAUAGUUAGAGAGAGCAAAGCUAGGACGGUUUGCUUUCAGCCACCAAUAUGAUUGAAGUUUAAUUUUAUCUAGUAAUUGAUGAAACGAGGUUUCUUUUUGGAGAAAAAUCUGGGCAUUUCUUCCAGCCCAAAUCACCCACACAUAUGAGGUUAAAAGCUGAGCGGUUGUGUUGUGAAUUCGACGAGGAAACCACACCAAUAAAACUUGAUGCGUGGAGCAAAUUAAUACCAAGUAAUCAAAUCAAGUGGGUAGCAAAUAAUCCAAACAAAAACAGCAAGAGAUAAAAGAGAGAGAGAGAGAGAGAGAGAGAGAGAGAGAGANNNNNNNNNNNNNNNNNNNNNNNNNNNNNNNNNNNNNNNNNNNNNNNNNNNUGUUGGUCUAAACCUUGUUUUUCUACACACUUUUAUCAUCUGAUACAAGGCUGUAUUUAUAGUGGAAAGUAAACCCUUAAAAAACUGAAACAAAUCUAACUGAAAAUACGUUUUAUUUUUAUCUUCAGCGCGACCAUCGUGGCGCGAUGAGGCUUCAUCGUGGCACGAAAUUUCCAAUGUCUUCCAAGGAAUCUUGCUUCAACCAUCGUGGCGCGAUGCUUCUCCAUCGUGGCACGAUACUCCAGAUUUCUGAUUUUAAGUUAACUCUCACAGGUUGCUUUUGGAGAACCCGCCUAAGGUGCCAAAUUGAUAUAAAUGAUCCGACACAUGUUUAGGAUGCACUAUGUCGAAACUAAGCUAGUGAGAAAUAUGAUACCAAAGUUUACCAAAAAAAUCACAAGAGAGGAAUAAGUGCUAUGCAUCUUCCAACAUGCCGCAUUCACUCACGCAUAAUAGAGCAUUUCGUUGUAAACGCCAAGCAAAAAGACUAACUUUUAGGGGCACUUCUUUAUUCCAAAUUUCUGUUAUGUGAGUAGUUGUCAAGUUGUUGUUGACUGAUGACAACAAAUGAUUAUAAGAACUUGUGACAUUAUAUUUGCUGGACGCAUGUAAGUGUCAAAUUUACCUGUCAAAAUAAUUAGACUGCAAAACAAUAUUAGUUAAAAUAUCACAACACUCCCGCACUUUCUUGCGUUAAUGCAUAUUCAAACUAUAUACCAUCAACUUUUAAAUUCUUUUAAUCUUUUAGUUAAACAUUAAACAAGUGAGCUAUCCAUCCCUCGAACAGUUUUGACACUACAUGUAAAUUGAGUUCGUGUUUAGUAGCAGAAAGUUUCUCAAAUAGAUUAACUCCAUCGGAGGAAACAACCAAAAAAAAAAAAAAAGAGCCUAGCUCAUAAAAUAUGCGUGUGAGAACAGAGAAUGAAAAUAGUUAGACUUUUCCAAUAUAAAAUUAGUUGGUCAUCUCAAAAUAAUAAUAAAAAUUAGUUUUUUUUUUUAGCAAAGGAAAGUUAAUGCAUUUCAGUCAUAAUCAGAGAAUACAAAGUAAGUGGUACAUUAUAGAAAAUAUGGGGCUAGUUUGAGAAUAGGAUGCUCUAGCUAUAUUGUGAGUGACCCUAUUUACUUGCCUCCGAACAUAAGACACUACAAAGCGGAAUUUCUAAACAAUAAAUCUCUACACCGUGAAUAAUAAAAUUAGUUGGCAGCUAAAAAUAUUCCAAUAUUUAGUCAAAAAGAAAUAUUCCAAUUUGAUUUGGUCAACAAGGAAAAAAACUAUUAAUAUUCGAUUUGAUGCUUAAGCAAUUUCUUAUGUAAUUACCAAAAGACUCAUUCAAAUUUGCCUGGGUGUUCUAUGACUAGUAUUUUUCCUAUUCUAUUUUUUUCUUGGUCUAUAGUAUUUUUCCAAUUCUAUUUUAUGAUAUUAAGACAAACUAAGUUAAGCUGAAUUGUAGCAGCACUAAGAGAAAAUGGAUUAAUAAAGUAAUAACAAAGGAAUUGCCAAAGUUAUAUAAAAGGAAGUUUGGAGGGUGUGUUAAUAAGAAGCUAGAAAGAAAAGGAAAACUACAUUUUAAUACUAAAACCACCCAAUUUUUUGUCCAUCUUAAAAGUCAACACCAAUUUUACAAAGAUACCAAACAAGUCAUACUCCAUUCGGUUUUGACCUUUACACAUAGAAUGUGGUAGCACCUUUUCUUACCUUACCUCCUAGUUCUUCUUCUACUUCAUUUUCCCUGCAUCACUAAUACAUUUUCUCUUCCUUUAGUCUUCAUUUCUUCUUAGUUCAAACUUGAUCAUUUGCCUCCCUAAGAAGGGCUAACAUCAUUUCAUCUUCUAGUUAGACUCUCAUAGAAUUCUAUAAUUAGAUGCUUUUCAAUUUUCAUGUCACAUCCACAAAUGCCCUCCCCUCAUCAUCUUUUGCCUUUUUCCUUCAUCAUCAACAUCUGUCUCUUACUCUCACUCUUCUUAAUUCCAAUACAUGUCACUAGUGAUGUUGAAAGCUUCAAAUCUUGUGCACCUUUUAGUUGUGGAAAUUUCACCAAUAUUAGUUACCCAUUUUGGAGUAUUAACAACCAACAAAAUUAUUGUGGUCAUCCAAACUUCAAACUUGAUUGUGAACAUGGCAACUUGACUAUUGAAAUUAAGUCACAAAAGUUUCACAUCAUUGAUAUAAAUCAAACUUCACAAGUUUUGAGGAUUGCAAGGUUGGAUUUAUGGAGUUAUGAUUCUGCUACUAUUGCUUCUUGUCCCAAGAAAUAUAUCAAUGUAACCCUAGAUUCGGAAUUCUUCAAUUACACUUCCAAUUAUGAGAAGUAUACGCUAUUAUAUGAGUGUGGUUCUCUUCCCGAUCCAUACUCGUCUUCUUUGGGUUCAGAAGUUUCUCAAUUUAUUUCUUGCCUCAUAGAGGAUAAACCUCGUGAUGCAUACUUAAUGUCGAGUGCGAAAGUGGCUGAUUUCAUUGAUUUGGGGUGUAAGAAUAAUAUUACAAUUCCUGGCCUAAACAGUUCCUUCCUAGAAGACUCGGAUUCUGUGGCAAAUGUUUUAGACGAAGGAUUUGAGGUUAAGUGGAGUGGCGUGGAAGAAGACAUAUGUGAUGGUUGCAUGAAAUCUGGAGGGAGAUGUGGAUAUAAUACAACUGAGAAUGUGGUUUUGUGUCUAUGUCCUAAUCAACAAUCAUACGGUGAUUGCGGAUUUUGCCGCCCAAAUUUAACAACUAUAGUUUUGCCGGAUGAUCCCGGUUGCAAAAGAACCCGAUCAUUUAAAUCCGUGAUACCACCACCUCUAGCAGCACCAUCAAAUGGACAAAUACCAUAUGAUGGACAAAUACCAUUAAAUGGACUAACACCGGCAGGGGGUCCAAAUUCAAAAGAGUCUAGUAAUGAUUCGGGUAUGUAUUCUUCCUUCUCUUUAUGUUCUAUUAGGUUCUUCAGCCGAAUAAUCAUAUUUAGUGUUUAUCUGAACCUAUCUUACAAAAAUUUACUAGAGUUUAUCACAUUUUUAUCAGUUGUUUUUGGCUGAUUUCAAUAGUUUAUACGUCUGGAACUUAUUUGCAAACAAUUUAUUAACAUUUAUGAGUUAAUUAUAAGUAUUCUGUACAUAAACAUGUAUAUGAUCAACACUUGUUAAAUCAAAGUUUAAUUAAGUUGGUUAGACAAAUCCACUCUAACAUUUUCAUUUUUUGGAAUUUAGUUUGGGAUCCAAAAAUGUUUAUGGAACCAACUUAGAGAAACGCAUUUGAUUGUUCCAGCUACACUUAUGGUAACUUCAGUAGAAGUUCAAAAUUUCUCUAUUGAAAAACUACGAAUAAAUUCUAUUGUAAAUCUAAUAAAUUGUCGAUAAGUUUCAAUUUGAAUACGAUGUGUACCUUAAGGAAAGAGAGUGGAAAUUUCGUGGGUGACUUUUGAGUUGACUCUAUGGGCAUGAAAAUCAUUUUUGCUGAACAUGAGAACCAUAACUCAACUCAAACAUUAUGAACUAAAUUUUGUCUCUAAACAUAACCUCAUCCUCUUCUUUUCUUCCUUGUUCUCAACAUAAUGGAAAAUCACAUCCCUAUGCUCAUCAAUAUUACACACAUCUCUUUCUUCUUAGUAAUAAUAACUACCACUCUUUUUCCACAUACAUCUCAACUAGUUAUCGAUGAUUAUUCCACUUGUAGAGACAUAAAAGAUAAGGAUUUAUAUUAUAUUUGUUAAAUUAUUGUUGUUAUUGAAAAAUAAAUAAACAUGAAUUUAUAUUAUAUUACAUUAAGCCAUACUGUUAGCGAGUAUUAGUGUUUAUUUUUGGUACAUUAAGCCAUAUGCUGUAUCUGCUAUUGCUUGCUUUCUCUGCUAGGCCUUUGGUGAAAAUGCAUAUGUGUACAUGUUUAUGUUUAUUAUACACAAGUAGAAUAUUCUCCUUGAAUUAGAACAAUGCUAACUGGUCUUUUCUUUCACGACUAAUUGUUGCAGGACAAUGGAAUUGGAAGAGGAAAUUCGUCAUUGGUAAUAAAUCGAACUUUCUAAAGUUUUAAGGAUGUUGCAUGCACCAUUUAAAAUAAAAAAAUUAGAACUUCUUAACACGUGUCCAUUUCCUAUAAAUAAAUAAGAGAAAUGAACUUAAUAAAAAAAAAAAGCAGAUCUCUAUUUUGUUUUAACAGAAUCAGCAGUUCAACUCAGGAUACUCAAAAUGCCAAUACAAGGCUUAAACAAAAUUGCAACACUAACUUUAGACCAUGCAACUUCAUGUUGUGACUUGGUACCCAUAUCCUUUUGCCAAAGUUCAUUUUUUGUGUUCUGUAAACUAGCAAUUAUAGCUUUGUUUCUUCCAUCAGCACUUAAUAAGAUAAUUCUUAUUCUAACAGCAGGUGUUGGAAGUGCAGCAAUGGUAGCAUUGCUGAUGUGCAUCAUAAUCUGUUGUUAUAGAGGCAAGUCAUCGAUACUAGUAAAAUUUUGGUUUAAGACAAAGAAUGAUAUAAACAUUGAAGCAUUUUUAAAAGACCAUGGAGUUCUAUUGCAAAAAAGAUAUAAGUUUUCAGAAAUAAAGAAAAUUACAAACUCAUUCAAAAUUAAAGUUGGUCAAGGGGGUUUUGGUGCGGUGUACAAAGGAAAGUUAUUCAAUGGUUCUCUUGUAGCAGUGAAGAUAUUAAAUGCAUCAAAAGGAAAUGGUGAAGACUUUAUUAAUGAGGUUGCUAGUAUUACUAGAACCUCACAUGUUAAUGUUGUUAACCUUCUUGGAUUUUGUUUUGAAGGUUGUAAUAAAGCUCUCAUAUAUGAAUUUAUGUCUAAUGGUUCCCUUGACAAAUUUAUAUACAAUAAGGAACCUGAAACGAUUGCAUCUUUAAGUUGGGAUAAUAUGCAUCAAAUUGCGAAAGGGAUAGCCCGUGGGCUAGAAUAUUUGCAUAGAGGAUGUGCCACUCGAAUUUUACAUUUUGACAUAAAACCACAUAACAUUCUUUUAGAUGAG